UCUCUUCCGCAGGGCUCAGGAUACUUUCUCCAGCAGUGCGGAGCGCGGGAGAGAGGACCCGAGAGCUGAGCGGCUGGUUCGGCGCGGAUCGGCUGCCUCGCCACCGCCCCAGGGUCCCCACCCGUCACCGCGCAGACCCUCUGCGCCAACCUCCAUCCCAGCCAAGGACUCCUGACAUCAAACAUGGACUGCUGCACCGAGAGCGCCUGCUCCAAGCCGGACGACGACAUUCUAGACAUCCCUCUGGAUGAUCCGGGUGCCAACGCGGCCGCUGCCAAAAUCCAGGCGAGUUUCCGGGGCCACAUGGCGAGGAAGAAGAUAAAGAGCGGAGAGCGCGGCCGGAAAGGCCCGGGCCCCGGGGGACCAGGCGGAGCUGGGGGCGCCCGGGGAGGCGCGGGCGGCGGCCCCAGCGGAGACUAGGCCAGGACUGAGCAUUUUCGAAGUUUCCCGAGACAGAUGGAUGCCGCGUCCCCUUCGCAGUGACGAGACUUCCCUGCCGUGUCUGUGAUUCUCUCCUUUCCACCAACCUGCCAGCUUCAGGAGCCCUCUCUGCUUCCCCCAGAGACUCCCUCUCCCAGGAACACCGUCCAUCAGUCGCUAAGGCCGUGCCCUUUUAGUUAGCUCUCCAGUCUAGUAUGGUCCCCGUUCGCCCUUCCUCCCCACCCUGACCCCCCCAUCCUCGCGCCCCCAAAUCUUCCUUCUUUAGCUUCUCGCCCACCUCUCCCCGCACCCAGCAUGCAGCUCUCUCUCCGCAGCCUCCGCGUGCUUCCCUUCGCGCACUGCGGAGGGCGCCCUAAGCGUGGCCCAAGAACACUCCAAAAAAAAAAAAAAAAAAAGAAAGAAAUCCUUUAGUUCCACGCGCAGCUAAAGGGGGCGCCCGUGCGUCUCUGCUGCGCCGCUCACGCCCCAGCCUAGUCCAGAACUUCGGGGCGAGGAGAGAGGGGAGGAGGGUUUUUAUGAUGUCGGAUGCCCCUGGCGGUGAUCAGAAGGGAAGUUGCCAUGUCACGCCCCAACCCCACGCCUGCCUGUACUCAGCCCUCCCCUCUCCCCAGCGUACCCCGAGAGCCACCUCUCCAGCUCUCAGCUUGUUUACGCGAACGCGGAGCGCGGGGGCGGCUCGGUAGGAGGAGUCUCCCGCGGCCCCGCCCCUGCUCCUGCUGGCCCCGCCCCUACGGGCUCCUGGGGCUGUGGCCGGGAGGGUUUUUAUCUCCGUGUGUGCAUGUGACUGUGCUGGGUUGGAAUGUGAACAAUAAAGAGGAAUGUCCAAGUGUUCA